rnacentral:rRNA from 3 species
CAACUUUCAGCAACGGAUCUCUUGGCUCUCGCAUCGAUGAAGAACGCAGCGAAAUGCGAUAAGUAAUGUGAAUUGCAGAAUUCAGUGAAUCAUCGAAUCUUUGAACGCACCUUGCGCCCCUUGGUAUUCCGAGGGGCAUGCCUGUUUGAGUGUCAUUAA